UUUCCGUUGAUCCUKCCGARGUUACUGCUAUCGUGUCGCCUAAGCCAUGCSGAGUCAUAGKAGCAAUACAUGGCGUACUGCUCAGUAACACGUGGAUAACCUGCCUUGGGUCCGGCAWACCCCGGGAAACUGGGGAUAAUUCCGGAUAACGCACAUAUGCUGGAAUGCUUUAUGCGUCAAAUGGAUUCGUCUGCCCAAGGAUGGGUCUGCGGCCUAUCAGGUAGUAGUGGGUGUAAUGUACUACUAGCCGACAACGGGUACGGGUUGUGAGAGCAAGAGCCCGGAGAUGGAUUCUGAGACAUGAAUCCAGGCCCUACGGGGCGCAGCAGGCGCGAAAACUUUACAAUGCGGGAAACCGUGAUAAGGGGACACCGAGUGUCAGCAUCAUAUGCUGGCUGUCCAGGUGUGUAAAAUACACCUGUUAGCAAGGGCCGGGCAAGACCGGUGCCAGCCGCCGCGGUAACACCGGCGGCCCGAGUGGUGAUCGUGAUUAUUGGGUCUAAAGGGUCCGUAGCCGGUUUGGUCAGUCCUCCGGGAAAUCUGAUAGCUCAACUAUUAGGCUAUCGGGGGAUACUGCCAGGCUUGGAACCGGGAGAGGUAAGAGGUACUACAGGGGUAGGAGUGAAAUCUUGUAAUCCCUGUGGGACCACCUGUGGCGAAGGCGUCUUACCAGAACGGGUUCGACGGUGAGGGACGAAAGCUGGGGGCACGAACCGGAUUAGAUACCCGGGUAGUCCCAGCCGUAAACGAUGCUCGCUAGGUGUCAGGCAUGGCGCGACCGUGUCUGGUGCCGCAGGGAAGCCGUGAAGCGAGCCACCUGGGAAGUACGGCCGCAAGGCUGAAACUUAAAGGAAUUGGCGGGGGAGCAC
rnacentral:rRNA from 1 species